AGUAGCUCAGUUGGUUAGAGCUUCGCGCUCACGCUGGAGGUCGUGGGUUCAAAUCCCUCCU
rnacentral:tRNA from 1 species